rnacentral:tRNA from 1 species
GGCUCGGUGGUGAAAUUGGUAUACACGUCAGACUUAAAAUCUGAUUGCUGAAUAAGCAGUGUGGGUUCGAGUCCCACCCGAGCCA